rnacentral:lncRNA from 1 species
GGAAUUAAAACAUUGGAUUGUUGCCACGAGGUCCUAUACCAAUAUUAAAUUUAUUAAGGAAGGAAAGCUGCACUGAACUCGUCUAACGUCCUGAAUUCGUGAUUAUGGAUCUGGAAGAACAUCAGAGGUUCACCGCUUAACAAACUGGAUAAUCGAAGACGCCAAAAAUUCCAAGAGGAUUCUUGGCGGUGAUUGAAGAGAUCUGGGCGUUGGACUCCAUCGCGCCCCCCUCAG